rnacentral:rRNA from 1 species
AAUCAACGCUGGCGGCGUGCCUCAGGCAUGCAAGUCGAACGAUUAAACUUUCCUUCGGGAAAGAUAUAAAGUGGCGUACGGGUGAGUAACACGUAAGGAAUCUACCCUCGAGUGGGGAAUAACAAUCGGAAACGAUUGCUAAUACCGCAUAAUGCAGCGGCACCGUAAGGUGACAGUUGUUAAAGGAUUUGUUCGCUUGAGGAGGAGCUUGCGGCAGAUUAGCUAGUUGGUAAGGUAAUGGCUUACCAAGGCGACGAUCUGUAGCCGGUCUAAGAGGACGGUCGGUCACACUGACACUGAAUAACGGGUCAGACUCCUACGGGAGGCAGCAGUCGGGAAUUUUGGGCAAUGGGCGAAAGCCUGACCCAGCAACGCCGCGUGAAGGAUGAAGUCUUUCGGGAUGUAAACUUCGAAAGAAUAGGAAGAAUAAAUGACGGUACUAUUUAUAAGGUCCGGCUAACUACGUGCCAGCCGCCGCAGUAACAC